GGGGGCUGUCCCUUCCACAGAGCUGCAAUCAAGCACAAAUGACUCUAAUAGUAUCAAUUGUGAGAGAGAGAGAGAGAUUUGGAGUUCACCACAAAUUCCCCAAACAAACAAUUUUACAAGAAGGACAUGACCCGCCUGGCGUUACUGCUUAGUUCUGAAUGAGUGAUACCGACUGCAGCAGGUGACCAGGCCAAGCCCAGAAAUGGGCCACAGGGACCCCAAGCACAUGCUCUUCCCCCAGACUGCCACCAUCUUGCUUUUCCUUCAGACCUAGGACCCCACGAGAGGAGGGAUCUGGAGGCCAAGCCAGGAGCAGGACAACACCAACAGAGGCCUCAGAAGAAGACUCAGAGUGGGACAGGGGCUCCUUAAGUGAUUGGGGCUGGAAGUGCGCAGAGAAGCCCGGCGCGGCAGGGAAUUGUCUCUCCCUGGGGUGCUGCCAAGAUGAAGAAACUGAGGUUUAGAGCAGCCGCUUGCCCAGCGUAGACAGCGAGAAGGACAGGUCCAGUUCUGCUUGAUGAUGAAGCCUGUGUCUUCUCUGCUGUGUGAUCCUAAUCACGUUGGGAGGUUCCUGAGGAAGCAGAGGAUUUUGCCCUUGCAUUUGAGCCACAGCAGCUCUAAGAAACAUGCCAAGUUAGCCGUCUGGUCCCACGAGAAACAUGGGAAACGGGGAUCAGAGCCAUCCUAGCCGAACUCAGCCCAGAUCAGCAGGCCUUAGUGGACCCCAAGAUAGGUAAGUCCAGAGCUGCCCAAUUGAAC
rnacentral:lncRNA from 1 species